CUAAGUGACAUAGGCUAGAGUGUAUACAAAUAGUAAACUAAUGUCAUAAAACGGCAUUAGGUUAGGACUAGAUAUAGAUUUAGCAAGCUAAUGUCAUAAAGCGGCAUUAGACUUGAUGAAUAUGCGAAUUGCAUGUACAUGUUAUUAUUAUGAGAAUUAUGCCAAGUUAGUAGUCGCAUUGGAUAGAACAUACAUGUAGCGAUAUGAGAACACACUAGAGAGCAUGUGUAUUAAUCUAUUAUUGAUAGAACGAGCUAGCGUCAUAAAGAGACAUAGAAGGUGAAAUGUGCUUAGAUUAUAGCAAUGUUUAAGUGUCAUAAAGAGGCACUAAACAUAGUGAAUGUGGGAACUUCACCUUGAGAUUUGGACUUAGUAAAGCUAAGGUCAUUGACAUCGAAAUUAUUGAACGGUUAAACCUUCACAUUGAGACCUAAUACUAGACCUUUGGGUUACUAGUGACUGUUACCAUGUUAGAGACAUGAUGAUUGGGUACUUGAGGUUUUGACCAUGCUUGCUUGCCAUUUGUGCUCAUUCGCACAUGCUUGUACGGGUCGCUCCCUACAAGCCGGCACUCCGGAGUUAGCCUACGCGACUUAUGUUCGCUCGUGCGGUAUCGAGUAGCCUACGGGGCCUGGAGGGUUAGACUCAUUCCUAGAGUGGGGAUGCUGGAGCUACGACUGGCACUUAGGCGGCGCAAGCUGAACUACACCUGUGUAGAUCCUGAUUAAGAUUGAAUCAGAAUAUUAAACAACAAGUUGACAUUCACUACUAGCUAGGUUAUAGUAGUUGGACUCUUAAUAUGCUAUGGCAUAGGGUUGGACACUUGGGUAAU
rnacentral:lncRNA from 1 species